rnacentral:rRNA from 1 species
UACGUAGGGUGCAAGCGUUGUCCGGAAUUAUUGGGCGUAAAGAGCUCGUAGGCGGUUUGUCGCGUCUGCUGUGAAAUUUCGGGGCUCAACCCCGAACUUGCAGUGGGUACGGGCAGACUAGAGUGUGGUAGGGGAGACUGGAAUUCCUGGUGUAGCGGUGAAAUGCGCAGAUAUCAGGAGGAACACCGAUGGCGAAGGCAGGUCUCUGGGCCACUACUGACGCUGAGAAGCGAAAGCAUGGGGAGCGAACGGG